UCGAGAAUCUUCGGCAAUGGGCGCAAGCCUGACCGAGCGAUGCCGCGUGCGGGAUGAAGGCCUUCGGGUUGUAAACCGCUGUCGAGGGGGAUUAAGGGUAACUUGAAUGAUCCCUGGAGGAAGGACGGGCUAAGUUCGUGCCAGCAGCCGUGGUAAGACGAACCGUCCGAACGUUAUUCGGAAUCACUGGGCUUACAGAGUUCGUAGGCGGUCCGGCAAGUUGGGUGUGAAAUCCCUUGGCUUAACCAAGGAACUGCGCUUGAUACUGCCGGACUCGAGGGAGAUAGAGGAAAGCGGAACUGAUGGUGGAGCGGUGAAAUGCGUUGAUAUUAUCAGGAACACCGGUGGCGAAGGCGGCUUUCUGGGUCUCUUCUGACGCUGAGGAACGAAAGCUAGGGGAGCGAACGG
rnacentral:rRNA from 1 species